GAUGAACGCUGGCGGCGUGCCUAAUACAUGCAAGUCGAGCGAACAGACGAGGAGCUUGCUCCUCUGACGUUAGCGGCGGACGGGUGAGUCACACGUGGAUAACCUACCUAUAUGACUGGGAUACCUUCGGGAAACCGGAGCUAAUACCGGAUAAUCUAUUGAACCGCAUGGUUCAAUAGUGAAUGACGGUUUUGCUGUCACUUAUAGAUGGAUCCGCGCCGCAUUAGCUAGUUGGUAAGGUAACGGCUUACCAAGGCAACGAUGCGUAGCCGACCUGAGAGGGGGAUCGGCCACCCGGGAGCUGAGAGACGGACCGGGAGCCUACGGGAGGCACAAGUAGGGAAUCGGGCGAAAGGGGGGAAAGCCUGACGAAGCAACGCCGCGUGAGUGAUGAAGGUCUUCGGAUGGUAAAACGCUGUUAUGGGGAAAAACAAAUGUGUAAGUAACUAUGCACGGCUUGACGGUACUUAAUCAGAAAGCCACGGCUAACUACGUG
rnacentral:rRNA from 1 species